CCUAACUUGAUGGAUAGUCACUUGUGUACCUGAGAAAAUAUACCAAUAAAAAGAUCCCAGAUAUCUCAUAGUGAUGUUGGAUGUGAUAUAAACUGACCAGGAUACCAGAAAUCCCCUAGACUGCUUCAAGCAAAAGUAACAGUAUCUUAUGCUCAUUGGGGAGGGCAAACAAGUCCUCAAUUUAAAUCUCCUUCAAAAGACAGCAGCACCUCAAUACCAACUUGGAAAGUGGCUUGAACCUAUGGAUCACAAAACUUGGCUAUCAAGCAUCACUGGUUUUGCCUGUAAGGGAGCUCAGCGUGCACAAAAAAAGGGUGUGAAGUCCAUCUCCAUUGACUAGUGAAGGAGCGUGUGCAGUUCAUCAUCUUGGGAAGCAUAAGGCUGCAGGAUUCUGUAGAGGCUGGAGUUGGAAGGAACAGUCAAAAUAAUCCUGAUUAUAAAGUCAUCUUUGAUCUAUGUUUGGAUGGAAAAUGUACGGAGAACACACCUUAACAACCUGAUCCAAUGUCAAAAAGCGGUUGGCUUCAGCACGGAUUGUCCAGUGUGAUAUCUUGCCAUUAUGAGAUGUCUGACGUAUGAAC